GGGGAAUUUUGGACAAUGGGCGAAAGCCUGAUCCAGCCAUGCCGCGUGAGUGAAGAAGGCCUUCGGGUUGUAAAGCUCUUUUGUCCGGGAGGAAAUCCUGGCCUCUAAUACAGGUCGGGGAUGACAGUACUGGAAGAAUAAGCACCGGCUAACUACGUGCCAGCAGCCGCGGUAAUACGUAGGGUGCAAGCGUUAAUCGGAAUUACUGGGCGUAAAGCGUGCGCAGGCGGUUUUGUAAGCCAGAUGUGAAAUCCCCGAGCUUAACUUGGGAACUGCGUUUGGAACUACAAGACUAGAGUGUGUCAGAGGGGGGUAGAAUUCCACGCGUAGCAGUGAAAUGCGUAGAGAUGUGGAGGAAUACCGAUGGCGAAGGCAGCCCCCUGGGAUAACACUGACGCUCAUGCACGAAAGCGUGGGGAGCAAAC
rnacentral:rRNA from 1 species